rnacentral:rRNA from 1 species
UACGGAGGGUGCAAGCGUUAUCCGGAUUCACUGGGUUUAAAGGGUGCGUAGGUGGGUUUGUAAGUCAGUGGUGAAAUCUCCAGGCUUAACCUGGAAACUGCCGUUGAUACUAUUUGUCUUGAAUAUCCUGGAGGUAGGCGGAAUAUGUCAUGUAGCGGUGAAAUGCUUAGAUAUGACAUAGAACACCGAUAGCGAAGGCAGCUUACUACAGGAUGAUUGACGCUGAGACACGACGGCGUGGGGAGCAAACCGG